ensembl:lncRNA
AAGAGACGUGACUGCUUUACAGUCUGUUUCCACACUGUGGGCAGCUGCUGUCUGUUCUGUGUCCACAGUAGGAUCCUGCCCAAAGAGGAGCGACCUGCCCACCUCGCUGUGUUUGAGGCUUGGCGCCUUCCUCUUAACUGUAGGGCUGGAGUCAGGAACAUGGCUUGACUCGCAUUGGGGCUGCUGUGUAUCCUCUAUGGCACUGAGCCAAGGUCGCAUUUGCAGAUUCAAAGAGGCCAAAUUUCUUCCCCCAUCUACCUCCUCUCUCUCCCUUUCCCCUGGAAUUAGGAAAUCGGGUUUUCUGUGUACUGGUUAGUUUUCCUUCCCUUCGGUUCUCCCCCCACUGUCAAUUUCUAGGUCAUUGCUGCUCUUAAGACUUCAGCAAUUGGAACAGGGUUGGUUCCGUCAACGAUGCGUGAAGCUGACUUCGAGUCCCUGCUUGGCUUCCGCUGCCCUUAUGGGAGCACAGGCUGAUAGGCAGAGGAAGCUGCCAUAGAGUGUCGGUGGGUAUUGCCAUGGAACACACUCAGACACAAUAAAACUGGUUUGAGUUUCAACCCCGGAGCUGCAACUGACAAUUCUGGCUCAGUGAAGACCUGCCUGUGUCUGGAUGACUGGCAAGAGGGUGUGAGGUCCAAGCUGCCCAGAGAUCCAAAGUUGGCAGAGCUCUCUCCUUCUUCCCCCUCAUUGCGCCCUUUUAAGAUACACCAAUAAAAACUGAGAAGUAGGAAGGAGAUGCGACUUGGGGCUUUUUAAAAAUAUCUGUGGAGAGGUUACCUUGACUACUGAGAGAGAGGCCAAAACAGAGCCGAGGUGGAGAGCUUUUUUAACAUUUGUAUCUGUCCCCAGCACCUAGUUCAGUGCCUGAGACCUGCGGGGGCCAGGGGCGUAUUCCAUUAACAGUUGUUGAGCGAACUGAUCCAUGAUGGAGUAAGACGCCGCCUCCCCUUCAUCUUGAGGACAGUUCUGAUCUGGAGGCAGCCCGGGCUGAUGCUUCUGCACGGAGGUGGAGCAGGGAGAGGGGGCGCUCCAUCCUGCGGCAUGUGUCAUGAGGCUUCUCAGCCUCACAGAUGCGUCCCAAUGGCUCCCUCUGAUGUGAUAUUUUGCUUGAGGCAACUUCCAUGUUGCUCCCAGGAGCCCCUGGCUUUGAGGGAAAGAGUCCCACCCACUGGCUGGGAGGAGGGGGUGUCUGUCUGGAUGUUACCUAGUGUCCCCAGAGAUGGGCCAGAAGCUGCGUGGCCUCUAGUUGGCAAGGGAUUAGGGAGGAGCCCACCUUUGGAGUCCUGCUGUUUUAACUUUUGAGGAAAAGGUGUGAUCUCAGGUUCCUCCUGAAAAGAUCAGGUGCCCUCGGAGACCUUUUAAGUUACGCACAGCAGUAGGUCUCCACCUUCUCAGAAGGGGUGGGUCUGCAGGGGGAGAAGCUGUGCCCUUUGGCCUCCCCUUGGUUUUCAACCCCGGCCCCAGGGUGCUGGCAGUAGAAGCUAAUUGGGUGCGAGGGGCCUGGGUAAAGGCUGUCUGAAGCCUGGCAAAAGGAGGGAGCCAGCUCCUUUUUUAAAAAGCUCUAAUUGAGUUCUGAAUCAGCCUCGCU